rnacentral:lncRNA from 1 species
CCCUAACUGCCUGUGCAUUGUCUCGCCAGACAGUGGUUAUCUCCUGCUUGAACUACUGCAAUGUGCUCUCCGUGGGGCUACCUUUGAAGGUGACUCAGAAACUACAGCUAAUCCAGAAUGUGGCAGCUAGACUGGUGAAUGAGAGCAGCCACCGCGACCAUAUAACACCAGUCCUGAAUGGCCUACGCUGGCUCCCGGUAUGUUUCCAAGCACAAUUCAAAGUGUUGGUGCUGACCUUCUGUUAUGUGCUGAGCUUGAAGGAGUGUCUUCACCCCCAUCGCUCAGCCCAGACACUAAGGUCCAGCGCCGAGGGCCUUCUGGCAGUUCCCUGACUGCGAGAAGUGAGGUUACAGGGAACCAGGCAGAGGGUCUUCUCACUAGUGGCACCCACCUUGUGGAAUGCCUUCCCAUGAGAUGUCAAGGAGAUAAGUAACUAUACAACCUUUAGAAGACAUCUGAAACAUCUGAGACAUCUGAGACAUGCUGGAAGCAGGACCGGAUUUAGGUUUGAUGAGGCCCUAAGCUACUGAAUGUAACGGGGCCCUUUAUAUCAUAGCUGUCAACGUUUCCCUUUUUUUAAGGGAAAUUCCCUUAUUCCAAAUAGGAUUCCUCUCAAGAAAAGGGAAAAGUUGACAGCUAUGCUUUAUAUGUCCAGCUAUCCUUUGUCAACAACAAAUUGUCGCUGUUUUUGUUGUUGAAUAUAUGCUAUAUGGUAAUUUAUGGACCUAAUAGGUAUCUAAAGCCAUUUGCACAUAACAAAAUAUGUAUUUUAUCAAAGAAAUUGUUGAACUGAAAUACAGUUAAGAAGAAGUAUAUUAAUAGUGAAAUACAAUUAAGAAGAAGUAUAUUAAUAGUGAAAUAAUUAUUAAGCCCCAACUUAAAAUGAUUUUUUAUUCAUAACAAACUUAAUAAUGCAAACACAUUGGCAUUUGGCAAUCACAAAAGUUCCUUUAGAAACACCAUUUACAAAGACUCAUAAUUUUGCGGGGCCCCCCAAGAGAGUGGGGCCAUAAACUAUAGCUUGUUUAGCUUAUACGUAAAUCCGGCACUGGCUGGAAGCCACCCAGAGUGGCUGGGGCAAUCCAUUCAGAUGGGCGGGGUGCAAAUAAAAUAAUAAUAAUAAUAAUAAUAAUAAUAAUAAUAAUAAUAAUAAUAAUAAUAAGUUUGUUAAGGCCUCUGGGACUUGUAACUCUGUGAGGAAUGAGCUACAGUGCCCAUAAUUCUUUGAGGGUGGAAAUGUGCCUUGAAGAGUAAAGAUAUACUGUUUAAGCAGAUUGUGUGACUUCUGUGCUUGCUCAGUUUAUUCUCUAAAUGUUAAAGGGCAUCUUCAAAUUCUUGUUUGCUCUCCCUUCUGUUGUUUCUUUAUGUUAAAAAUUAGAUCUGGACUGGACAGUCUUUCAAACAGAGGACUAUCCUCUGACCACACUUCAAAGUGUUAACUGUCAGUCCUCUCUAAAUGACACAUGACCAUCCUAUAGCAGUUUCAAGGGUGUGUGUGAGAUUAUAUUCGAUUUAAGCUGGGGAAUCAGACGAAGGGGCAAAGCGUUUGGCCCUCAUCCAAAUCAGCUCCCCCCCCCCCAGCUGCUUUAAAACCAAGCAAAGAAAGUCCCUGAAAAGAUUUCUCCUCCCACAUAACUUCUUCUUUUGUGCCAGGCAUUCUGUGUGCCAUGAGAAUUCAAAUUCUGCCCCUGCCACCCUGCCACCCUGCCCUGAUCCUGGUCCACAUGUGCAGCAGAAUAAGGUGGAAGUAUCCUGAGGGCAAAAUGUGGCUUGUACCACUUCAGACUGAAGGUGGGGGAGGGGCACGUGUGUUUAAACACUUCCCUGCAAGAGGAAAGGUAGCACAUCAGAGGAUAAUUUCUCUACUGUGCUGGUUUUCUCCUUGCAAGGAGGUGUCAUCUAAUUUACAUAGAGAAACUUUCAGAAAUGUGAACCUCCUCCCUACAUGGUAAGUGGUAAAGUGUGUUUUACCAUCUUAGAUCAGCAGGAACUCUCCUCACUUCAUUUCUGAUCUUCUCCAAAGAGACCCUGCUAUCGCUUGUGUCCAGAGAGCAGGAUCAAGUUUAGAUAACUGCUUAACAACUUCAGAAAUCAGUAGCUAAAUACCAUAAAUAAAGGAUUCACCCAUACAGCUGCAAAUAAAACAUUUUAAAUAUGUUGUAAAGUGCAAUAUACAAACGUGAUACUAAAUGGUGACAGGGAGCUAUGCCAAAUUCAAUGUAUUUUUUCAAAACUUUUUUUUAAAAAAACAAAUUUUCACAGUGUUUUUAAUAUGUGUGUAGUUUCCACUAAGGGGGUAAAACCUCAGUGCCUAGGACUUGCCGAUCGCAUCGUCGGCGGUUCGAAUCCCCGCGGCGGGGUGAGCUCCCGUCUUUCGGUCCCAGCUCCUGCCCACCUAGCAGUUUGAAAGCACCCCUAAGUGCAAGUAGAUAAAUAGGUACCACUUUAUAGCGGGAAGGUAAACGGCGUUUCCGUGUGCUGCACUGGUGCUGGCUCGCCAGAGCAGCUUCCUCACGCUGGCCACGUGACCUGGAAGUGUCUCCGGACAGCGCCGGCCCCCGACCUCUUAACUGAGAUGGGAGCACAACCCUAGAGUCGGACACGACUGGCCCAUAUGGGCUGGGGUACCUUUACCUUUACCUAGUUUCCACUAAAAUAAAGCGGUCUCUCAGGGCACAUCAGAUGCUAAGCAGAAAGUGAGGGAGAUCUAAUUCUUCUUCCCACACAUAUGCUCUACUUUGUUAUUUGUUUUAUUUAUUCAUCGAUAGGUAUGUUUGGAAACUAUGUUGGUAUAAUAUCAUAAAAGAAAAGAAAAAGUUGGCCAUGCCUUUUAAAAACGCACUGUAAAUUUUCGCUUCUUUCAUUGCAAGCUAUUUCACAUUUCCUUCACUAACUCUGAAAAGCAUAGGGGCCAUGUGAUCAGUUAUGUGGGGCAGGGCCUACCUGGGCCCCCACAAUAUUUUAUUCAAGUUGGCACCCCUGCUGAAAAGGCACCCAUUUUAAGAUUUUUGGGAACUGGCAAACAUAUUUGAGUGUAACUGAUGAGCAGGCAGAAUGGUUAUUUUUUUUUAAAGUUUGUUUCAUUUUUGCUAAUUACUAAUAGGAGACCAUGGGGGGGGGGGGAAAGAGGGACAGAUGCCAAAUUCUUCGAUAUUCUUUAGGCGUCUUGAUGAUAAACUGCCAAGCUGGGCAAGAGAAACUUUCUGAGUCCGCUCUAACCCAAUAGUGUCUGAGCUGAGCUCCUGCAACUUGGAAUCAGAUUAGCUGUAUCAAAGCUACAGUUUAGGCAUCCAGUUAUUGAUUGCAGACAAAUCAAAAGCAGAGACGUGUUUUCUGGCAUUUAGCUGCUUUGGGCCAGUAAAUAAGACCUGGCAUGAACUUGUUGAGAUACUCAGACGUCCUUGGGAACGCAGGUUGGUGCAUCAAGGCCUUCAGUAUGUUCCAGCAUUGAAGCUUUUAAAGGAUUGUGCUUUGCAUUCUGAGCCAAAACUAACAAAGGGGUAGCAUGGGAAUCCAGAGGACUUCGAAGCCAUGGGAGGCAAGGCGAUUUCUGGCAUUAGUUGCUGGCUGGGUUUCAAGGCCACUUCGCACAUUACUCAGAUGCAAACUUGGGGUUGCCGUCGGGGUGCCACGAGAAAGCUUUAUUAACUAUGAACUAUGAAAUUUGGGAUCCCCUACAAACUGGUGCCAAAGUUUUGCACUUGUUUUGUACCGUUUUCUACAAAACGAGUUGUUCUGCAAACCUCAUGUUUUGUACGCUCCCCAAAAUGGAGUAAUUGAUAUUCAAACCCGGGGUCACAGGUAUCCCGCCCCCAAACCCCAACAUUGUCCAAUUCACUCCAAACCGGUGCCAAACAUUUUGCAAUAGUUUUGUACCGCAAACCCCACGUUCUGUAUCACCUCCCCAACAGAGUGAUUGAUGCUCAAAAUGUGGGGUUUUGCAGUGCAAAACUUUGGCUUGAAUCAGACAGUGUUGGAUUUUGGAGUGUUAACUACAAAUCCUGGUAUGACGGUGAUAUUAUUCAGUUUGCAGGGUGCAAAACAUGUCAUUCACGGUACAAAAUGGGUACGGAACUUGGGAGGGGAUCCCAAAUUUCAUGGUUCGUGGUUAAUAAAGCUCUGCAAGAACCUGGAGCCAAUCUCAACUCCCUGAUAGCACCUCAUCCUGCUGUGCUGCUAAGUGGGUGCAGACCUGAUUGGCCCUUUGGAGCAGGACUGGGGAACCACAGACCCAGAGGCCAAAUGUGGGUCCCUCUAGGCCCCUCAGGACUCAUUCUAGGCCAUAUCCCCUCUGCAAGACACACUCCUCGGGGGGGGGGGGUGUCCAAGCCUCUGGAUUUUGCACAGCCAGAGUGUAGCCUCAUGUACAGAGGUUUUCCACAUUGACAAAUACUUGAUCCAUCAAAGUAGCAAUGCCAAGACUAUGAAGACUUUCAUUCUAGCAAUGAAAUACGGUCCCUUCUCUAGAAAUGCUCAUUACAUGCCCCGAACACACUGACCAGAUGCUUGGAAGCUGUGGCUGGAUGGUUUCGUGGGAGCCGAUUGAAACUAAAUCCUUCGAAGACAGAGGUCCUAUGGCUGGGUCGGGAUGGCAUGGGGAUGAGGGACCAACUCCCUUCUCUUGCGGGGGCCCAAUUAGUGCCAUUGCCUUCUGUUAAGAGUUUGGGUGUAAUCCUUGACGCCUCCCUUUCCAUGGAGGCGCAAGUUACAGCAACAGCCAAGGUGACAUUUUUCCACCUUCACCGCAUCAAGCAGUUGGUCCCUUACCUUUCCCGCCCUGACCUGGCCACAGUGAUCCAUGCGACGGUCAUCUCCAGGCUUGACUACUGUAAUUCGCUCUACGUGGGGCUGCCCUUGAAGCUGACCCAGAAACUCCAGAGGGUGCAGAAUACUGCAGCGAGGCUCCUCACGGGGUCUCUGCCAUGGGAGCAUAUUCACCCAGUGCUUUUCAAACUGCACUGGCUCCCGGUAGAGUACAGGGUCAGAUUUAAGGUGCUGCUUUUGACCUUUAAAGCCCUUCACGGCCUAGGACCCUCGUACCUACGGGAUCGCCUCUCCCGGAGAGCCUCAAGGUCCAUAAAUAUCAACACCCUAGUGGUCCCGGGCCCUAAGGAAGUUAGAUUGGCUUCAACCAGAGCCAGGGCCUUUUCAACUCUGGCUCCGGCCUGGUGGAACGCUCUGCCUCAUGAGACCAGGGCCCUGCAGGAUCUGAUUUCUUUCCGCAGGGCCUGUAAGACAGAGUUGUUCCGCCUGGCCUUUGGCUUGGAGCCAAUUUGAUUCCCUCCCUCUCUUUCUUUUUUCCUUUCCUUCUCCUCCUUUGAUGAGGCUACAUUUUAAUAUUUUAAUAUUUCAAUAUUUUAAUGUUGUAUUUUAAUGUUGUUUUUAAGUUGUAAUCAUUCAACUUGUUUUUAUUAUUGCUUGUAAGCCGCUCUGAGCCCGGCCUUGGCUGGGGAGGGCGGGGUAUAAAUAAAAAUAUUAUUAUUAUUAUUAUUAUUAUUAUUAUUAUUAUUAUUAUUAAACAAUGUGUCAUUAGCAGAAAUCCUACAUCUUGGGAGGAGGUAUAGGACUGUGAUGAUAAUCUCAUGGCAAUACCAAGUCCUAAACAGCAGCCUUUUGCCAUUUUUUUCCUUAAAAAAAUAAAUAAAUUAGAAAGAGGGUUUUUUUUGUUUUUUUGUUUAGAUGUUUCACAUUUCUGUUCCCUUAGCCUUCUUCUCAGGUUCAAUUUUCAUUUGUCCCCCUUAGGGCUUUUUCAAGCAUGGCUAAGAAAGGAAGAAGAGAAGAAGAGAAGAAAUACAAGAUCAUUGACAUUUGUGAAAAAUGCAGCUGCUACGUAAAGGAGGAAAGGCAAGCUCAGUGCUUUGACUCAGCAGAGCAUCUCUUGCAAAAUAAGAUGAAUGGAAGGGGAGAGGCGAGAGCGCUGUAGAGCCACGGAUGACUUGGAAAAAGGGAAAAGAGGAGAGAGGCUGGUUUAUCCUUCACGUGAGCCAAGGACGUUUAAAAGCAAUCUGGCUUUUUCAGCCAGAGGUGCAGAACUGAAAUCGCUUUUACAUUUCUAUUCGUUCAAAACAACAGAAUGUUCACUAUCCAUUUCAUUGCUCCCCACCCCUCUUGCUCUGGGUGGGAAUGGAGGGGGUGGGGAGUUGGUCCUCUUUGCAUUAUAAUGCGAACCUACACUUUCCUGAAUUUUGCAGUGUCAGCCUACAACCAAAAAAUGUGUUCCACAAGCAGGCAUAUUAGGGGAAAGUGGGCAUUAGGACACAAAUGUUGGUGAAAGCAACAGACAAAAUGCAUCACACUUGGAAAAACAGGCUUGCAAAAAAUUGCCUAGUAGGAGGGAUGCGCACUAAAACGGAUGAAUUCAAAGUAAUGUAGAAAGGUGUGAAGCUGAAGUUAAGAUUGGAAAAAUGAGAAAGGGAGGGAAAUCAACAGCAACCUCUUCACCCAUCCUCAGUCGGAAGGUGCAUGAGGCCCAUACCCUUGCUGAAACUGGUUCGAAGCCUAGAUGGGUCACCAGGCAGGAGCCUUGGAAUCAAUGAAAGAAGAAAAUAUAUGCAAAUAUAAGUGGGCGGGGGAUAAAAAUUAAAUAGGUCUGCACCACAUCUUAGUUUCCCCCUCAUAUUCUUAUUUCCCAGCCUACCUCAUCCCAGUAUGGUGUAGUGGUUAAGAGCGGUGGACUCGUAAUCUGGGGAACUGGGUUCACGUCUCCGCUCCUCCACAUGCAGCUGCUGGGUGACCUUGGGCUAGUCACACUUCUCUGGUCUCUCAGCCCCACUCACCUCACAGAGUGUUUGUUGUGGGGGAGGAAGGGAGAGGAGAAUGUUAGCCGCUUUGAGACUCCUUCGGGUAGUGAUAAAGUGGGAUAUCAAAUCCAAAUCCAAACUCUAUUCCUCUCCAAAUGCAAUCUACGAGUGCAGUCCAGGAGUGCAAUAUUAUACAAUUUAUUUUUUGUUGGCAUCCAUCUGUCUUGAGAGACAAUGGAGUGUGCCUCGGUGUGUGUGUGUGCAUGAAAUCAAACCACUAUGUUAGCAGCACUGAAGUGACCUCCCCAGGGUGCAAGCCUGGGUAGUGUGUAUGGAGGUCCUGGGCUGCCCAGACAAGAAGACCCACCCCCCUCAACCUCGCUGAUGUGGUACAAAGGAGAGCAGAGCAAUACGUCUGUAACCACCACCCCACUUGACCACAGGAGUUGGCAGAAGCAGGUGUACAAGGUGCCACCCAACCAUUUUAGGACUCCAGAUUUCUGUAGGGUUUACUCCUUAGCCUUUUCUUCUCCUGAAGAUAUCCCACAUGGGAGCAAAGGUUUAGAACCAGAGUUUUCCUUCUCCUAGAUGGGCUAGUUUCCCAGGUGGACAAGCCCCAUCUGCCGCUCACUUCCCUCUACAACACAAACAGAAACCACCUUCUUCACAGUUGGACCCACUAUUUGGUCUCAUCUGCUGAAUCCUCCAGAGCCUGCCUUUGCAUGCAGGGGAAGUCCCUAACAUGCCGAGAGUUUGAGAUCCACACCUGGUUUAGUUGGUUUACUCAGAAGUAAAUACAUAGAGUUUAGUGGGUCUUUCCCCCAGGUAAGCGAGUGAAGGAUUGCCACUUACACCUGCAGUCCUAUAUAGUAUACACACUUACCUGUGGAUUGUGGUCCAUGAACACUUAUGCCAUAAUAAAUUUUGUUAGUCUUUAAGGUC